UUUACCUGAAAGAGAAAAAACGGUUCUUUCUGAAGCCCACUGAUACCAAGAGAGUGUCCUGGAUGACCAUGUCACUGUCCCCUCUUGGCCUUUUGUACAUGCCCAUGUGAUUUUUACUGUCUCCCUAACAUUGUUUACCCAUUAUUUUCCCCACUAUCUCAUCUACUCAUCCAACCUUCCAUCUGCUAGCGAUAUUAAGGAAAAUUCUGGGGGAUGCAAUAAUGUCCUUGAGGGUGUGUGUGUGUGUGUGACUUAAUAAAAUGGACAUUUCACACCACCAAAAACUAAAUCUAAAUAACAGUCAUUCUUCAAAAUAUGCAGUAGCCUUUCUAAAACCAUGCAUAACUGGCUGUGCUCAAAUAAAGCAGUUUCCUCCCUUUGGGAGGCAGGUUAAUAGUAGUAACAAUUCACAUGGAUCACUCAGUUAUUCUUCAGAAGUACCAUCACUGUUUCCAUUCUGUACAUAAGGAAGCCGGGGUCAGGGUGAUUAAGUGACUUGCUCAGAUCCCAGGAUGAGGAAGAGGAGAGCCAGUAUUUACACCUAGAAGAACAAGAAUCUAUUUUUCAAGUAUACAGGUCAAGAAAUGGAAGGUUGACUCUUGGGGAAAAAAAUCUUUGUUAAAAGUAAAGGGUAUUUGUUUCUGUUAAGGCCUCAAAAGUUGUCUGGGGAUCAGACUGGCUGGUCAGAAGAAAGCAGCAUGCUCCCAUUAGGGCACAGGCCCCCCCAGCUGGGACGUGAGAUGUGCACAGAGGACCAUUAGCCACACAGGGAAGGCUAACUGCAGAGAAAGCGCACAGGAGCCAGGAAAGCAAAGCAGCUCGGAACGGGGUCUCCGUGAAGACUGCUAGGCCCUGGGUCCCCACACUGCCACAGGCUCGUGGGGUCGUGGAUUGCUGAACCUCAAGAGAAACCUUGGGAAAGGCCUUCAAAUGAGAAUCACCCUUCCCCACCUCCACACCCUGUACCUUGGCUGGCAGCUUUACUGUGAAGAGUGGCCUGAGACUGCACUCCAUCCCAAGGAGUGAGG